GUUCCAAAAGCCAUCUCUGCAGCUCUCGACAAAGAUGGUAAGCUGCUUUUGGCAUGGAGCAAGGCUUCAAAAAGUUGAUGUUCUACCCUAAGAUAGGGAUCAUUAUUCACUUACUGCAGAAGCUGUUGUUAAAAGAUUCAGAAAGUUUACUUCAAAAAAACUCUCUCACUACUGAAUACAGAGUUGCUUUAAUGACUUCACUGAUGCACCUAACUGCCAAGUCUGAUGAGUUAACGUAGGUAAAGGAAUGAAGUGGAUGUUGCUCAGCUUUGUAGUCCUCUCAUGUCCGUGGUAACUGGGUUGGGAUGUUGGUUCAAGAUAGGCAACACUUAAUCAGGCUUAAGCAGAGGUUUGUGGGGAAGCCCAAGAAGGCAGAGGGGAAUCAGUCUGUUUUCUGACAAUGCUGUUUUUUCCGAAGUCCAGCACUCCUCUCUUCUGCCAUGAUGGACAUUUUGUGCUGGGUAUAACACAGAUCAGAGAUUUUUGCCAGGUGUACCUCGAUCAGUCACACAACAGAUGAUCCAAAGUUGAGUGAAAGCAUAUUUUUAAGUUCUCUUGAGUUAAAGAAUGCAACUGCAUUCUAGACAAGAUAAUUGAUGCCACUGUUAAUUUCUUUUUAUGUGUUUAUCUAAACAUGCCUAUUGCCUGAUUCAAACCACAAAAUAUCGUUAUGCCUUUUUCUUAUAAAUGAUACAGUCACGUAUGGUCAAAACUCUCACACAUGUCCACCUAGAGACUGUAACCAAGCUACCCCAGAUAAAUACGUUAACCAUCCCAGUUUGUCACAGGGAUGUUUUUCAUCUCUCAAGUUUUGCUUCAGACCUCCUUCCAGAUAAUCAAUAUCUUUUCUGAAGUAUAUGUACUUGGUUAUCUCUCAUAACUGAAAUCUAUUUUCCAGGUCUCUGCAUUCCUAGAGAUUGUUCCAUUUUGGAAGCUCUUGUGCUAGAGAUGUGACUUCACACUUGCCUAUAGUCAGACACACAUUGUUCAGAGAAGCCCACUUUUACCAAACUCUCCAGGUUUCUGUUCUGGCUUCUGCUCUUUCAAGUGACUGGUUGAAAAGAAAGAGAUGAAGCAAUAUUAAUACCUGAGCAUCAGCUCAUCACUGACUGAGGAAAUGGUCUGAGGUGGAAACAGUAAGGACAGCAAAGGAACCAUAGGACAAAGAUCCCACCUGUUAUCCAAGACUCCAGAACUCCCCCUGAACUAUUCAGCUUUUUGCAAAUGUGAACAUAAUAUUUAUCUUUCAAGACUCAAAUCUGAUUUUUUGAAAAUGGUCUUUCCUUUAAUCAUGGCUCUCCCAAAGAUAAACAGAGGACCCUGAAGCCACUGACCCAUUCUGUCAAUGGACAAGAAGGAAGUACAUGUUCACCAUGCUGGACCCAUUGUGUCUCCCAAUGACUGUCUGCACUCCUGGCUCUUGAAAAGUAAUAAAGCUCCCUUGUUUCUGAAGUAAGCAAGAGGCACUUAGCAGAAUUAUGCCAGGAACUCAUAUAGUUAUUGCCAUCUGAAAUUAUGCCAAGUGAAUAGCAGCUUCAAAAUGAGGAGUCUUAUGCAAUCUGGGCCGCAAAUGACCUUGGAUUUCAGGU